GGGUUAGUGCUCUAUCCACUGUACCACCUAGCUGCCCCUGAGUUACUGAUCUCUUUUGGUGGAAGGAAUUUCCUUUACCUGUAGUUACCAACACAUACAAAAUCACAGGUCUAAACCAAAACAUCUGCUGUUUAAGUUUCUAAAUACACUUUGAUGUGUGUGUGUGUGUAUAUACACACACACAUACACACACACACACACAUACACACACGGAUGUAUGGGACCAUACUUGUAUACAUUUGCAUGAAUAUAUCUAUAUAGUUAUAUGUAUCUAUAGGGAUGUAUAGAGAGUUCUAUUCAUUAGUAGCAGAGUCAAAUUAAUUUCCUAAAUCUGUGCCUUGAGUAUAUCCCUUAGAUUUAAUCUCUUUUCCUACAAUUUAUUCUUAUAAGUACAUUUUUUUUGGGGGCAGGUUAAUUGCUGACGUAGAUGUCACAUGUUCCCAACAACUAGAAGUCUUUCUCUCCUCAUCUCUGCCUCCCGGCUUCCCUGGCUUCCUUCAAGUCUCAGAUAAAGUCUCACCUUCUACAAGAAGUCAGUGUCACUCCUCCUUAAUCUCAGUGCCUUCUCUCUGAGAUUAUCUCCAGUUUCUUCGUAUAUAUCUUGUUUUCGUGGUGUUGUUUUCACUUUGACUCACCCAGUAAACUGUGAGCACCUGAAGAACAGAUGAUUUUUGCCUUUCUUUUUAUUUCUAGCACUUAGCACAGCACUCGGCGCAUAGUAGAUAAAUGCUUGCUUAUUUGAGUAGAAAAAAAAAUCAACUUCUGGUCACCUGUGAAAUGUCCUCCAUGCCACACUAAAACAGUAGAGCACUUACCAUUAUGUGUACAUACACCACAGACACAUUUAUGCACUGACAAAUGGAUCUUGAAUAGUUAUAUGAAAUGGCUGUUAAAUACCUGAGCUAAGCUAGAUGCCAAAUUCCAUCUUUCUAUGAAAGACGGAAGGGGAAGGCUGACAAAUAACUUAAACUUAUAAAUGAGACAAAAAUAAAUUAAUUGUAGGGGUUUCACAGAGCCUCAUUUCCUGAUGUGUAGUAGGGAAGUCCUAUUAUUGUAAACAUCCAUGUCCAGACAAGAUUUCUUUGCUUAGCCUGAUCCAUUCAGUGAAACCUGACAUAGAAGAGCAAAUGUAUACAAGGGCUCUUGCUUUGCAGUCCUCUUUUGUGAUUUCCCCUUAAGAUUUUGGGAAGAUUUUCCCAUUUUAAGGAAAUCUCCUUAGGCAACCUUCCAUAUCACUUCAAUCAAGAGAGAGCAAGAAACACUGUAGGAGAAUCAGGGGCUCAUGGGAUUUAGAGUUAGAAGAAACCAUUGAAGUCACUUAGUAAGGAAUUCUUAACCUUAUUUUGUGUUAUGGACUUCUUUGGCAGUCUGGUGAAGAGUAUGGACUUCUCAGAAUUAUGUUUUUAAAUAAUUGAAAGAAAUGCUAAAUUUCAGUUAGAGGCAUUGUUUUUCACAUCUAAGUUCAUGUAUCGCUUGAAACCUUAGGUCUGUGGGUCCAAGUGAAGAACACCUGAUCUAAUCUAUCUGCAUUAUUUUAUAAAGGCAGGUCAACAGAGGGGAUAAUGUUUAUAAUGCAAGAAGGACAUUUAACUUACCAGCUUCACAAACAGGAGUGUAAAUUCACAUUUUUGUCUUCAACCAUAUCUCUUUGGUUGGUAUUUGUCCUGCCAACCCCUCCCCCAGCUCAGUUCAGCAAAUUUCUUCUGUUGGGACUCAUCCAUGAGAGAUGGCAUACCAAAGGCAACAGAAUGCUAUGGUCAGGAUGGGAACUGAGAUGAUGGGAAGUGAAAAGGCAAGCAUUUCCCCACUCCUGGCUCUGUGGUAUAGUGGAAGGUAUGUUACCUCUGGACCUGGAGGAUCUGGGUUCAAAUCCUUGCCCUGCCAUUUACUAUCUGAGUCACCUCAAAUGAGACAUUUUAACCACUUUUCAUUUUGGUUUUCCUAACUGUGAGAUGAAGGUGUUUGACUAUAUGACCUCUAAAAUUCUCUCUAGCUCUAAAUUCUUCAAUUCUUUUAUCUUUCCUUCAAGGGAUAUUCUUUCAUUAUCAAGGGGUUCCUAAUCAUAAUAUGAAGCCUUGUUAAAGAUUAUAAAUCCUUCCCCCCACAACACUUUGUCCUCUGUUACAAUGAUGAUAAAAUAAAUAUGAACAGAUUUAAACAAAGAAAUAAAUAACCCAAAUCCAGCCCCAACUUAGACUUAGCUUCCAUUUUGACUUUCUUCAGGUUUGGUGACUGACCAUGCAUUUUCUAAGUUGAUUUUCUUCUAUGAACUUCCAGGUAACAAAGGCUAAAUAUACCUGGCUGGAGUGGGAACAAGGUGGGCACUGGUAUUUCUGCAGUGAGCUUUCUGAAGAUUUUUAAUGUUCCCACCAUCUUUGAGUGAGGCCCUGGGUUUUUCACUUCCAUAGUUUGGAAACCUUUGAUGAAGUGUUUGGGACUGGAGCCUAGCAUAAGGUCACUCUGGGACUGGAUCAGAACUCCAAAGGAGAAAAGGUAAAGGGAGAAGAGCAGAGGGCUGUGGACCUUCAUCUUUUGAAUGCUGGAAGAUAAAGGAUCAGGUGGCUUCCUGAGAACCAGGAAUGUAAGGUAGCACAGUGAUUGAAGUCCAGUGACAAGACAGUGUCAGGAUGAUUGCUGACAGCCCAGGAUGCAGUGGAUGACCUUGGUGUCUUUGGUAUCUGACCAGGCUCUAAGCACUCUCCAGCACCUGCCUCAGCCACCUUCAUGGCCAUUGGGAAAAAUUGUUUUUACCUGCCCAUUCCACCAGAGGAAGUCUUCACAUUCUUGGGGGUAGGCAUCACUCAACUCACUGAAGAGUUUGAGGUCUGUUGGUUACCCUCAACCUGGUUUAGCCCAUCUACCAAGAUGGUUUUACUGGGGUGUGGCCACGGCACCUGCUACAGUUUCUUGAAGCCACAGGUAAGAGUUGGGUGAUAGGUGGACACCAAAGAUCCAUAAGGAAUCCAUAAGCCUUGACAUCAGAAGUGCUAGUCCUCCCUGAACACCCUUGUUCUUCUAAUUUAUUUAUGUUGUGAGUUUUAAAAUAUUGAUCAUAUAUUCAUUUGGAGCUUUUUGUGGCAUAUGGUGUAAAUUGUUGAUCCAAAUCUAACUUCUGCCAGAUUGCUUUCCAGUUAUCAGCAAGCAAUGAGUCUUUGCCUCAGAAGUACUAAACUAUGCUACUACAUUCACUUGCU